AGACCCGAAACCCGGUGAUCUAGCCAUGGGCAGGUUGAAGGUUGGGUAACACUAACUGGAGGACCGAACCGACUAAUGUUGAAAAAUUAGCGGAUGACCUGUGGCUGGGGGUGAAAGGCCAAUCAAACCGGGAGAUAGCUGGUUCUCCCCGAAAGCUAUUUAGGUAGCGCCUCGUGAAUUCAUCUCCGGGGGUAGAGCACUGUUUCGGCUAGGGGGCCAUCCCGGCUUACCAACCCGAUGCAAACUGCGAAUACCGGAGAAUGUUAUCACGGGAGACACACGGCGGGUGCUAACGUCCGUCGUGAAGAGGGAAACAACCCAGACCGCCAGCUAAGGUCCCAAAGUCAUGGUUAAGUGGGAAACGAUGUGGGAAGGCCCAGACAGCCAGGAUGUUGGCUUAGAAGCAGCCAUCAUUUAAAGAAAGCGUAAUAGCUCACUGGUCGAGUCGGCCUGCGCGGAAGAUGUAACGGGGCUAAACCAUGCACCGAAGCUGCGGCAGCGACACUAUGUGUUGUUGGGUAGGGGAGCGUUCUGUAAGCCUGCGAAGGUGGCCUGUGAGGGUUGCUGGAGGUAUCAGAAGUGCGAAUGCUGACAUAAGUAACGAUAAAGCGGGUGAAAAGCCCGCUCGCCGGAAGACCAAGGGUUCCUGUCCAACGUUAAUCGGGGCAGGGUGAGUCGACCCCUAAGGCGAGGCCGAAAGGCGUAGUCGAUGGGAAACGGGUUAAUAUUCCCGUACUUGGUGUUACUGCGAAGGGGGGACGGAGAAGGCUAUGUUGGCCGGGCGACGGUUGUCCCGGUUUAAGCGUGUAGGUGUGUGUUCCAGGUAAAUCCGGUUCACUUUAACACUGAGGCGUGACGACGAGGCACUACGGUGCUGAAGCAACAAAUGCCCUGCUUCCAGGAAAAGCCUCUAAGCAUCAGGUAACAUCAAAUCGUACCCCAAACCGACACAGGUGGUCAGGUAGAGAAUACCAAGGCGCUUGAGAGAACUCGGGUGAAGGAACUAGGCAAAAUGGUGCCGUAACUUCGGGAGAAGGCACGCUGACACGUAGGUGAAGUGAUUUACUCACGGAGCUGAAGUCAGUCGAAGAUACCAGCUGGCUGCAACUGUUUAUUAAAAACACAGCACUGUGCAAACACGAAAGUGGACGUAUACGGUGUGACGCCUGCCCGGUGCCGGAAGGUUAAUUGAUGGGGUCAGCGCAAGCGAAGCUCCUGAUCGAAGCCCCGGUAAACGGCGGCCGUAACUAUAACGGUCCUAAGGUAGCGAAAUUCCUUGUCGGGUAAGUUCCGACCUGCACGAAUGGCGUAAUGAUGGCCAGGCUGUCUCCACCCGAGACUCAGUGAAAUUGAACUCGCUGUGAAGAUGCAGUGUACCCGCGGCAAGACGGAAAGACCCCGUGAACCUUUACUAUAGCUUGACACUGAACAUUGAGCCUUGAUGUGUAGGAUAGGUGGGAGGCUUUGAAGCGUGGACGCCAGUCUGC
rnacentral:rRNA from 1 species